rnacentral:rRNA from 1 species
GUUUGAUUCUGGCUCAGGAUGAACGCUGGCGGCAUGCCUAAUACAUGCAAGUCGAACGGAGUGAAGCCUUCGGGUUUCAUUCAGUGGCGAACGGGUGAGUAAUACGCAGGGAACCUGGCCAUGGCAGGGGGAUACACUCUGGAAACGGAGCAUAAGACCCCAUAGGCAGUAAGGCGGCAUCGCCUUACUGUUAAAGAAAGCUGAAAGGCUUUGGCGAUGGAUGGACCUGCGGUGCAUUAGCUUGUUGGUGAGGCAACGGCUUACCAAGGCGAUGAUGCAUAGCCGGCCUGAGAGGGCGGACGGCCACACUGGGACUGAGACACGGCCCAGACUCCUGCGGGAGGCAGCAGUAGGGAAUUCUCGUCAAUGGGCGCAAGCCUGAACGAGCAAUGCCGCGUGAGUGAGGAAGGUCUUCGGACUGUAAAGCUCUGUUGCCGGGGAAAAAGGGGAAAUGCAGGAAAUGGCAUUUCAUGGAUGGUACCCGGCCAGAAAGCCACGGCUAACUACGUGCCAGCAGCCGCGGUAAUACGUAGGUGGCGAGCGUUAUCCGGAAUGAUUGGGCGUAAAGGGUGCGCAGGCGGUCUGUUAAGUCUGAAGGCAAAGGGAUGAGCUCAACUCAUUUAUGAUUCAGAAACUGGCAGACUUGAGGACAGGAGAGGGCGGUGGAACUCCAUGUGUAGCGGUAAAAUGCGCAGAGAUAUGGAAGAACACCAGUGGCGAAGGCGGCCGCCUGGCCUGUGACUGACGCUGAGGCACGAAAGCGUGGGGAGCAAAUAGGAUUAGAUACCCUAGUAGUCCACGCCGUAAACGAUGAGGAGCAGGUGUUGGGAGUGAAAUCUCAGUGCCGAAGCCAACGCAGUGACUCCUCCGCCUGGGGAGUAUGCACGCAGGUGUGAAACUCAAAGGAAUUGACGGGGGCCCGCACAAGCGGUGGAGUAUGUGGUUUAAUUCGAAGCAACGCGAAGAACCUUACCAGGUUUUGACAUCGGAUGCGAAGGCGCAGAGAUGCGCUGGAGGCUAUCAUCCAGACAGGUGGUGCAUGGUUGUCGUCAGCUCGUGUCGUGAGAUGUUCAGUUAAGUCUGGCAACGAGCGCAACCCCCGUGGUAUGUUACUAACGCUUUAGGGCGAGGACUCAUAUCAGACUGCCGGUGACAAACCGGAGGAAGGCGGGGAUGACGUCAAAUCAUCAUGCCCCUUAUGACCUGGGCUACACACGUACUACAAUGGCGUCUACAGAGGGAAGCGACCCUGAGAAGGGAAGCGAAACCGGAAAAGGGCGUCCCAGUUCGGAUUGAAGUCUGCAACCCGACUUCAUGAAGAUGGAAUCGCUAGUAAUCGCGGAUCAGCAUGCCGCGGUGAAUACGUUCCCGGGCCUUGUACACACCGCCCGUCAAACCAUGGAAGCCGGCAACGCCCGAAGCCGGUGGCAUAACCUUUUAGGAGUGAGCCGUCGAAGGCGGGGCCGAUGACUGGGGUUAAGUCGUAACAAGGUACCC